rnacentral:rRNA from 1 species
GCGAUACACAGUAAGCGGCUUAGCGAAAGCGUUAAGUAAUCCACCUGGGGAGUACGUUCGCAAGAAUGAAACUCAAAGGAAUUGACGGGGGCCCGCACAAGCGGAGGAACAUGUGGUUUAAUUCGAUGAUACGCGAGGAACCUUACCCGGGCUUGAAAUGCUAUUGACCGGCUCAGAGACGAGCCUUCCCUUCGGGGCAAUAGUGUAGGUGCUGCAUGGUUGUCGUCAGCUCGUGCCGUGAGGUGUCGGCUUAAGUGCCAUAACGAGCGCAACCCUCAUCAUUAGUUACUAACAGGUCAAGCUGAGGACUCUAGUGAGACUGCCAUCGUAAGAUGCGAGGAAGGUGGGGAUGACGUCAAAUCAGCACGGCCCUUAUGUCCGGGGCGACACACGUGUUACAAUGGAUGGUACAACAGGCAGCUACUUGGCGACAAGAUGCUAAUCCCGAAAACCAUUCUCAGUUCGGAUCGAAGUCUGCAACUCGACUUCGUGAAGCUGGAUUCGCUAGUAAUCGC